CUUUGUUGUUGUAAGGUUACAAUCUAACAGAAUAGAAUCAAAGCUAACCUUCACCUUCGUCAUCGCAGUGCAGACCUCUCUGCUGAUCGUUGCCCUCCUAUACAUCCUGAACCACGAAUUAAAGCACAGGCAGGAGGAAGCUCACGAGACUUUGACGGUCAACAAUACCGGAAUGUACAACAGUUAUCUUCUUACGGGAUCAACCUUGUAGACAAAUGGAGAUUCUGCCCAGAGGAGCGGUGAUACGAUCCGACAGAAGACGAUCAAAAAUAAAUUAACUGCUAAUGUGUUUGUGAACAGUGGACGCGACAUCUUCGUAUAAAUAACCCGUGCUGAGUGGACAUCUGCAGUUGUUCAACUGAAAACCAGGACGAAAUGAUCGCAAAGGUUGUCGUAUUACUCGCUGUCCUCGCAGUGGCGGCGGCGACUGUCUCACUUAGGGUUGGACUGCCUUUCGCGAGCGUCCAUGUCGGCGCGGGUUUGACUCGCUUUGGGGGCUACCCGGUAGUAUACCCCCCAACUGUCUAUCCUGGCUAUGGAGUUUACCAUAACGGAUACUAUCAUUACUAGAGAUGAAUAGAAAAAUGAAUCUUCCAAAUAAAGAAUUUUUUUAAUUUAAUUGUAA
rnacentral:lncRNA from 1 species